AUUGAACGCUGGCGGCAGGCCUAACACAUGCAAGUCGAACGAGUGGCGGACGGGUGAGUAAUGUCUGGGAAACUGCCUGAUGGAGGGGGAUAACUACUGGAACCGGUAGCUAAUACCGCAUACCAUCGGAUGUGCCCAGAUGGGAUUAGCGAGUGGGUGGGGUAACGGCUCACCUAGGCGACGAUCCCUAGCUGGGCUGAGAGGAUGACCAGCCACACGGGAACUGAGACACGGUCCAGACGCCUACGGGAGGCAGCAGUGGGGAAUAUUGCACAAUGGGCGCAAGCCUGAUGCAGCAAUGCCGCGUGUAUGAAGAAGGCCUUCGGGUUGUAAAGUACUUUCAGCGAGGAGGCGUUACCCGCAGAAGAAGCACCGGCUAACUCCGUGCCAGCAGCCGCGGUAAUAC
rnacentral:rRNA from 1 species